AAAAAGAAGAAUUUUCAUAAUAUAAAGUGAUAUUAUAAUUUUUUAUUUCUACAUACAAAUGUGGACAAAUAUGACUGGAAUUUUAAUGUCUGUUUAUGUUAUAUUUAUUUUUCUUUUCAUAUGUAUUGUUAUGGCGGAAGAUACUUAUGUUUGCGUAGAUGAUGAAGACUGUCCUGACUCAUGUCCUCCAUUUACAAUUCCAAAGUGCAUAAAGAUGAUUUGUGAGUGUAAGUUCAAGGGAUUGGAUCCAAAUGUAUAAAUUAUUUUAAACUAAUAAUAAAGGACAUUAUGGUAAAUUAAAAAUAAGGAUUAUUCUAAUGUAAUCAAACAUAGAUAUGAAGUUGUUCACUAUCUUAAA